rnacentral:rRNA from 1 species
AGCAGCCGCGGUAAUUCCAGCUCCAAUAGCGUAUAUUAAAGUUGUUGCAGUUAAAAAGCUCGUAGUUGAAUUUCGGGAUCAAUUAAUUGGUCGUGCCUCUGGUACGUACUGAUUUUAUUGGUUUCUCCCUUCUGACGAACCAUGAUGUCAUUAAUUUGGUGUCGUGGAGAAUCAGGACUGUUACUUUGAAAAAAUUAGAGUGUUUAAAGCAAGCUAACGCUUGAAUACAUUAGCAUGGAAUAAUGAAAUAGGACGUUUGAUCCUAUUUUGUUGGUUUCUAGGAUUGACGUAAUGAUUAAUAGGGAUAGUUGGGGGCAUUAGUAUUCAAUUGUCAGAGGUGAAAUUCUUGGAUUUAUUGAAGACUAACUACUGCGAAAGCAUUUGCCAAGGAUGUUUUCAUUAAUCAAGAACGAAAGUUAGGGGAUCGAAGACGAUCAGAUACCGUCGUAGUCUUAACCAUAAACUAUGCCGACUAGGGAUCGGAUGAUGUUAAUUUUUUAAUGACUCAUUCGGCGCCUUACG